rnacentral:rRNA from 1 species
UUAUGAAUAAGGAUCGGCUAACUCCGUGCCAGCAGCCGCGGUAAUACGGAGGAUCCGAGCGUUAUCCGGAUUUAUUGGGUUUAAAGGGAGCGUAGAUGGAUGUUUAAGUCAGUUGUGAAAGUUUGCGGCUCAACCGUAAAAUUGCAGUUGAUACUGGAUAUCUUGAGUGCAGUUGAGGCAGGCGGAAUUCGUGGUGUAGCGGUGAAAUGCUUAGAUAUCACGCAGAACCCCGAUUGCGAAGGCAGCCUGCCAAGCCAUGACUGACGCUGAUGCACGAAAGCGUGGGGAUCAAACAGGAUUAGAUACCCUGGUAGUCCACGCAGUAAACGAUGAUCACUAGCUGUUUGCGAUACACAGUAAGCGGCACAGCGAAAGCGUUAAGUGAUCCACCUGGGGAGUACGCCGGCAACGGUGAAACUCAAAGGAAUUGACGGGGGCCCGCACAAGCGGAGGAACAUGUGGUUUAAUUCGAUGAUACGCGAGGAACCUUACCCGGGCUUAAAUUGCAGAUGAAUUACGGUGAAAGCCGUAAGCCGCAAGGCAUCUGUGAAGGUGCUGCAUGGUUGUCGUCAGCUCGUGCCGUGAGGUGUCGGCUUAAGUGCCAUAACGAGCGCAACCCUUAUCACUAGUUACUAACAGGUCAUGCUGAGGACUCUAGUGAGACUGCCAGCGUAAGCUGUGAGGAAGGUGGGGAUGACGUCAAAUCAGCACGGCCCUUACAUCCGGGGCGACACACGUGUUACAAUGGUGGGGACAAAGGGCAGCUACCGUGCGAGCGGAUGCUAAUCUCCAAACCCCAUCUCAGUUCGGAUCGAAGUCUGCAACCCGACUUCGUGAAGCUGGAUUCGCUAGUAAUCGCGCAUCAGCCAUGGCGCGGUGAAUACGUUCCCGGGCCUUGUACACACCGCCCGUCAAGCCAUGGGAG